rnacentral:rRNA from 1 species
AGCGAACGCUGGCGGCAGGCCUAAUACAUGCAAGUCGAGCGCACCUUCGGGUGAGCGGCGGACGGGUGAGUAACGCGUGGGAAUGUGCCCUUUGGUACGGAACAACUGAGGGAAACUUCAGCUAAUACCGUAUGUGCCCUUCGGGGGAAAGAUUUAUCGCCAUUGGAGCAGCCCGCGUUGGAUUAGGUAGUUGGUGAGGUAAAGGCUCACCAAGCCUACGAUCCAUAGCUGGCUGAGAGGAUGAUCAGCCACACUGGGACUGAGACACGGCCCAGACUCCUACGGGAGGCAGCAGUAGGGAAUCUUGCGCAAUGGGCGAAAGCCUGACGCAGCCAUGCCGCGUGAAUGAUGAA